GAAGAUCAUGCAAGACAGUAUCCAGAGCUUCACUAAAGUCAAGAUGUACCACAUCUACCCCUUCCCCCCAUUCACUAGGCUUGUCACCCUGUCACAGAAAGCUGUCAGCUUGGUUUGACACGAUUUGUUUUUGACAAAUCCAGGCUGACUGUUACUUAUCACCUGAUUAUCUUCUAGAUGUUUGCAACCGAGCCCACUGCCCACCCUGUGUCCUAGGUACGGUACCUCUGUGGCCCCUGGGUUGCAUGUGGACACCUGGCUUCUCUAAGCCUCUGCAAUACAAUUCCCACAUUGGUCAGAGGGUCUGCCAGGAGUCACUAAAGAUAGCCAGGUUGUCUCCGUAGGGCCUUGAGAAGGUCUGUGAUCCCUGCAGCACCUCCUUGACAAGCCUCUGGAAGGUGGUCCCCAUAUUAAUUAACCCAGAAGGCAUAAUCCUAAACUCCUACAGGCCAGACUCUGCUCUGGAAGCUAAUUUUGCCUGGGCAGCGCUGCUAAAGGAAUUUGCCAAUACACUGGAGUCAAACCAGAGUGCUUCUGAAUCUUGCACCCCCCGUUAGAUCCAGGAGGUCCUUUCUCGAGGGUGUGGGGUACAGGUCAGGUUGGAUGACAGUGGUCACCCUAACAAAAUCCACACACAACCUCGUGCGUUUAGGCCUGUUAGGUACUUUCACCACUGGAGACGCCCGGGGCUUUUUUGAUUCAGUCACCCCCACCUCCAGCAUGCAGUCCACCUCCUCCUGAAUGCAUCUUUGUGUCACCCCUUUGGCACUGUUACCCACACACUCCAGGGCACCCACCCUUCCCUUCCAUGAGCUCAAUGCAGAACCCAGUUAAUUUAGGCACCCCCCCUUACCCUGUUCUCCAGGCAAAAGGCGCCCCCCCUUACCCUAUUCUCGGGGCUCCAGGUGAAAAGCGCCCCCCCCUUACCCCGUUCCCAGGGUGAAAGGCAUCCCCCCUUACCCCAUUCUCCGGGCGAAAGGUGCCCCCCGUUACCCCAUUCUCGGGGCUCCAGGUGAAAGACGCCCCCCCUUACCCCAUUCCUGGGGCAAAAGGCGCCCCCCCUUAUUCUCCAGGCGAAAGGCACCCGUUCUCAGGGCUCCAGAUAAAAGGCGCGCCCCCUUUCCCCGUUCCCAGGGCGAAAGCUGCCCCCCCCUUGUGCAGGUUUGUUAAAGAGCCUUACACAGUAAUAUCCUUAACCUCUGUUUAAGAGCUGUUACCAAACCAGAAUGUACACGCGGCGCACACAGCGCACACCGCUCCCAAUAACACGGACAAACUUUUCUUGGUGGCCAGUCAGGAGCAGAUCACCUGGGGACUCGUUUCCUGCCCGGCGUCAUUGGCAGGGUGCUGAGGUCCGGAAACUCUGAGCAUUGGGGAUGGGGCCUGGACUUGGUUCCAGAGAACUCCCCUUUGCCCCAGUGUAUACCGUGAAACUUGGGUCCUGCUUAGCUGGGCCGGAAUCAGUCGGGAACCAAAGUGCUGCAAAGCAGCGUUUUUCCCCCAGCCCAGCCCCAUACGAACCAGUUCCUAAUCCAGUUGUGACGAGAAGCCUGGGGUUCAGCCUGGGGCCGGGGGGCUGCUGUGCCCCCUGAGCUCUCCCCAGUCUGGGAGUGGGGGGCCGCUGGGCCCCCUGAGCUCUCCCCAGCCUGGGGCCGCUGGGCCCCCUGAGCUCUCCCCAGCCAGAGGCCAGGGGGCCGCUGUGCCCCCUGAGCUCUCCCCAGCCUGGGGCCGGGGGGCCACUGUGCCCCCUGAGCUCUCCCCAGCCUGGGGCCGCUGGGCCCCCUGAGCUCUCCCCAGCCUGGGAGCGGGGGGCCGCUGUGCCCCCUGAGCUCUCCCCAGCCUGGGGCCGGGGGGCUGCUGUGCCCCCUGAGCUCUCCCCAGCCUGGGGCCGGGGGGCCGCUGUGCCCCCUGAGCUCUCCCCAGCCUGGGGCCGCUGGGCCCCCUGAGCUCUCCCCAGCCUGGGGCCGCUGGGCCCCCUGAGCUCUCCCCAGCCUGGGACUGGGGUGUUGCUGGGCCCCCUGAGCUCUCCCCCGCUUGCGCUGUCUCUCGCAAUGCCCUGCUAGUGACCAGCAGCAACCCCUCCCGGUGCUCUUGUCACUCUGCCCAGCCACGUGGAGCCCCACACCCAGCAUGGAUGCUCCCAGAGCCACUUCCGAAUCACACAGAAAAGGGCACCCGCCAAAUGCCCCCAGCUCCCAGCGUCGUGCCUCAGGAACCUACCGUCUUGCACUGCUCAAGCCGGGCAGUGCAGAUUUAUUAGCUGGUUCCCCACAUCAUCGAUGGAAAGUGGACAUACGCCAGCCUUUGUGACCUGAGCAGAUUGACGAGAAACUUCCUACAAACUAACUGGUAAAGAUAAAUGGUAAAAAAGUGUACUGGCUACAAAAGAUUGAUUUUAAGUGAUUAUAAGAGAGAGGCAAAAAGUCAGAGUUAGUUACCGGAGGAAACAAAAUAAGCGCAGUCUGAGUCUCAGGCCUGUAAGACACUAGGCAGUGUUUAGAUCCUGCGUUUCUCGCCCCACGGCAUAUUGCACUUCAUAAUAUACAGCUUUCACCCUGGGAGCCUGGGCCUGUCCUCCUUGUUGGAGUAUUCUGAGCGCCCUUGUUCCUUGCAGCGUAGGUGGGGCAGGAGAAAGGCCCAGUGCGGGGCCCCUGUGUCUUUUACACCCUCACUCCAUGUGCUUGGGACACACGAGUCCAGGCUUGUCUGGGGUGUUGCUGAGUCCCCAGGCCAGGCGGAGCAAUUCCCGCGGUGGGGCCUCGUGCAGGGGAGUCCUUGCAGCCUGGCUCCCUUGCUGGACAAUGGCUGGUGAUGGUUGUUCGACACCCACCCGGGCGUUGUAACUUUCCUCUGGGGAGCUGAUACCUGGCGAUUCCCCAGCUCACAGCGUGUUUCACAUGCUCUCCUAAGUUCACCUGCACUAAUGGUGCACCUAUUUCAAUAACAGGGGCUUUCAAACUUCAUUGCACCGCAACGCCCUCCUGGCAACAGAAAUUAUUACAUGACCCCAGGAAGGGGGACCAAAGCGUGAGCCCAGCCGCCCGGCACAGGGGGGCCUGUAACCUGAGCCCUGCCACCUGGAGCUCAAGCCCUCGGUCUUGGGCUUUGGCCCGGACUCCAGCAAAUCUAACGCCAGCCCCGGGGACCCCAUUAAAUCAGAGUCCCGACCUGCUUUGGUGUACCGACUCCUAGGUUGAGAGAACCGUACCUCACAUGUCAUGCUUUACAUGCAAUAUCACAGUUCUAUCGAAUGAAUUGGGGGGACAGGGCGCUCCCCCCGAGGUAUCUGUGUCACACCAAUCCGACCCCACCACCUUAGCUGAUUUAAAUCUUGCAAAAUUAGUUAUGCAGCUGUCAUGGACUCCCAGGCCCCGGGCGCUCUCAGCUCCAUACGGCCCCUGGGAGUAACCUCCUUCAGUGUGACAUCCCUCCACGAAGGCUGCUCUCUCUCUUCGGGGCUAGACCCUCUGUCCCUGCCGCCUCCUUGGAGCGCACCUCACUGACCCUUCAGCAUGCUUGUCUCUCAUGGUGGGCACCCACAGGGAGUCCACUCACGCGGGGCCCCACCCCAGAGGAGCCAUGCCGCCGAUCUCUAGCCUGCAGUGACUCAGCCAGCGUAACACAGGAGGUUUGCUGAACAUCUGAACCCAGCCCAGGCAGGUCUCAGCACCAUCGAGCUGGGUCUGUCCCCGUCCCCAUGGGCUCUGGCUGCUCUCUCCCCCCCAGUCCAGCGCCCCUCCUUCUGGCCAACCAUCCUUCACCAGCCAUGGAUGUUUCCCUGUUAACAGACCUGUUCCUUGGCCUCUGCCCCUCUGCAACAUUUCUUUCUAUACCGUUAAAGUGCUCGUUAAUCCUUUUCUGCCUAACGCAGUAUCCCCCUUUUUUAACACAAUACACAGCGCUAGCCACAAGACAGACAGACAUGCACGCAACACAAUCUUCAUCACAACAGUAGAUCGUGGGAUUCUGGGCUGCUUUUCUGCUGGCACCAGCUUUUCCUGAAGCUCUGAAAGACACAACGAAAAUGUUUCUACCCUCUUUAGAGGGUGGCAGAUUAUUGCUUAAAAUACCCCUUCCUUUUACAAAUCCUUCCUUGCUGGCUGCAGGCAGGCAGAGGAAUUACCUCCUGCUUCCCUGUGCUUUGUUCUAUAGGCGGGGGACUUAGCCCCCUGCUCAGUCAUGACACUCAUGACGGGACGUACCUCAGUUUCCCUGUGUAUACAGCAGGACAGGUUUGUCGUGUGUCUGUGCUGUGCCAAGCGUUCUUUGUGUAGUCACAGGUAACAGCUGACCAGCAUUAGUGGUGUAAGGCUUCUUACCAGGCAGUGUGUUCACAGUAACCGUUCUAUGUGCUGACAGGCUUUUCCCAAGUUCCUACACAUCAUACAUUGUUCCUGGGUUACUCGUUAACAGGACGUUUAUCCAGUCUUUAACCUUAACACCACCAUGACAAAUGGGUGUGUACAGGUGUUGUGCUAUACCGCGCCGUUCCUUUAGACGGUCCCUCUCUGAGGCCCGUGUCUUCAAUACCCUCUUGGAAUCUUCGCCUCGGCUUUCAUAUAAUUCUCUCCAUGGGGUUGGGCGGGUGCGUUUUUAAGGGAUGGUUAACCUGUCCCUCAGUAUCAGGACUGAGGUGUUUCCCACCUCCCUUUCCUGAGGCUCAGAACCUGAGCCCUGCUUGAAUGCUGGCCAGGUGCCUCCCUUACCUGCACCCCCGUGUGCUGCCAUCGAGGGCAGUUCUCUGCUUCCCCUGUCACCUCGGUCAUUUCCAUCAGCACACACACCACUGGCUCUUGCUUUUCCUUGGAGAUUUUGAAAACUAAAAUGAACAAUUUCUAGCCACCUUCCAUGCUUCCAAUUGUGAAGAGUGGAACCAUUUUAAUCAUGGCUUGUUUUGCUGCUUUAACGCCCCCCAUCCCCGCCCCCCUCCAGUAUGCUGUUGGGCUGGCCUUUUUCCACUGCCUUGUUGUCUUUUGCCGCUUCUCCGGUAUGCACUGCACGUGUCAUGGGAAAAUGCACGUUCCUUCCCUGGCUGCACUUGUAUAACGUUAUAGUGGCCGUAGCCAUUUUUACAGAGGGUGUAACUGUUUCCUUUGUGCUCACGGCGUUUUCAUGGACCCUUAGCGAAGGGACAGCCACCUUAAGGCUCAGUGCUCCUGCCUUUGGUGCGGUGUGCACCUCACCCCCGCUGGUGCUCCAGAGAGGCACUCUUCAUUUCACUUAGCUGCUGUUUUGUUACCAAACAACAGAAAGGAUCCAGAAUCUCUCCCCAUUCUCCUGGUUCUGGCUGCCCCUGCCACAUCCUCUGGUCCUUAUUUAAAACAAUAUUGAGCUUUAUAAAGCAUAGAAGUACCCAAAGGGAAGAAGUGGCAAAAGUGUCUGUCAGUUUUGCAGCUUUGAAUGAGAGAGUCAAAUGGAUUUUUAGUGGUAUUGUUUAAAAAAAACAAAACCAAUUUCAUCCUAAACCUACAAAACAGGCUUUACAAACCAGGACAGUCGGUUUAGGUCUGUUUAUACAUACACACACACACACUCUCACACACACUCUUGUUCUUUACAAUUAUUGUUACACAGCUGUACACGGAUUACGUUCCCUUUUAGACAUUCGGAGGUGGUUAAGUUUCAAUGGGAACCCCUUAUGUUCUUGUAGUGAUUGUGGCUAAAUGGUCCAUAGUCAAAUGAUUGAAAUCAGAUUGUCUGUCUCUCUGCCUGCAGUAGUUGUUUACAAUGGAUUGCCUUGGGAAAAGGGCCCAUUUUCCUUCAGAAUGGCUGCAAAGAAACCAAGAAUUCUCUUCCUAUAACACGUUCCUGCUUUAACAUUUCCACAAAGUUCAACUGCUUAAUCCCGCCCCUCCCGCCCGCUGUUAACUUGUCACUCUCUUUCCUUGAAUCACUUAUCUCCCAGUGACACCUGCAUCAAGCCAGAUAUCACCAUUCCACUGUCAUCCCAGGAGUCUGUGUGAUCCCAGCACGGGCUCCUCUUCCUCCUGGCCCUGUGCCCAGCAUGUUUUCCAGUCUCUCUCCAUUGCCUGCCUGCUUGUCAGGGCCUGAUCCUGCUGUUCUCGCAGAACCACCCCUCCUCUUGGACAUGGGCCUCCUCCCACUACCCAUUUAGCGGGGGGGCUCCUCAACUAGCCCCCAGCCCUCCUGGUUCCUUUUCUUCCUUCUCUUUCUCUCUCCUUGUUCUGGGGAGGUAAUUCUGCCAGGAAGGUGGCAAUCUUUUCUGUCAGAAGGCACCGGUACUCUGCUGUUACUAUUGUAUUAGACCCUUAUCUGUUCAGUCCAAAACACCUUAUGCUGCCCGCAUUGGCCACCACAUCGGUUACCCACACACUCCUGUAGCCUUCCGUGGGCUCAAGGCAUGGCCCAGUUAAUUGAGGCACCGCUGACCUGGGCUCUGGGCGAAAGGCACUACCCUUACCGCAUUCCUAGGGCUCAGGGUAAUUUGCAGGUUUGUGGGGCCCUUUGCCAGUGAAAGGGCCUCACACCGUAAUAUCCUUAACCGCUGUUCACCAACACUUCCCAACACAGAAUGUGCCCUCGGCGCGUACGCCGCUCACCACACCCUGGAGUUGUUCCCUUUGCCCCAGUGUAUACCGUGAAACUUGGGUCCUGCUUAGCUGGGCCGGAACCAGUCGGGAACCGAAGUGCUGCAAAGCAGCGUUUUUCCCCCAGCCCAGCCCUUACCAAACAGUCCUUACCCAGUCAGACCCCAGCACUGUCGCUGAUUUAAAUCUUGCAAAAUUAGUGACAUCACAGACAAAAACAAUCAAAGAAGCAGACAGAAACUCUACAGCUAAACAAUAGAGAAGUGGGAGGCAGAACGGCAAAAGAAUAGAAGUAGAGAUUUCACAACCCCAACUGCUGGGGGGUGGGUCCUUCCCAGACAGACGCUGUCAAACAAAGUUUUCUUUAAGCAUCUUAAGCUCUGUUUCUUUCGCUGGUGAUGCUGGGCACCAUUAGCACAGGAGCCUUCUGAGCAGCACCAUAUGACAUUGCUUUAAUGCAAUUUAGAGUGAAUGUCAGGAUGUGACUUUCUGCCUCUUAGCUCAUGGCUGCCGGUGUCCUACUGUGGCUGCCGCUGCUUACUGCAGAAAAAGGCCUCAGCCCUUACAGCCCGGCUUGCCCUGCUCCCUGGCACUCCUGUGGAGCACAGUGCUUGGUUAGUAACACCUGGCCGCUGGGAAAGGCCCUCCCUGUGCUAUAGCAAGGGGGCCCACAUCUCCUGCUUUUGGGUUGGGUGCAAACCCUCCCAGAUCUCCGGGCAGUCUCCUCCUUACCCCCACUGGCCAGAUCCCUCACCAGCCCAACAAGUCGGGUUCUCCCUGUCUGCCUCCCAUCCCACUGCCAUGUUCUGUUUGCACAGCUGCCCUGCUGUGCGGUGUCCCUGCAUCGUGUGACCUCAUUCACUCGCUCUAUCGCCUCAAAAGGUCUCUCCCAGCAGUCCUGCAUCUCGUUCUUCCUCACUGGAAUCCACGAGGCCUGGCUGCAGCCUGCCUGUCAGGCCGCGCUCUCCGGGACGCCUGGCUCCUAGCAGGUUCUGAUGCACCAGGUCCUUCACAGCCUUCACGUUCUCUUGAAAAGGCAGGACCGGCUCCCCACAGGCCAUCCUGUCUCCUCCGUGCUGCCUUCCAACGAGCCUCCCAUGAAACCUAGAGGUCCCCUCGCCUUUGUCUCGUGAAGGAGAUUGGCACUCACAGCCGUGAGUCACUCCAGACAGCGGGGCAGUCUCCCAUCAGGCUGUCAGAAAACAGGGCAGGCCCCUCAAACUGGGGGUGUGAUUCUGUCAUUAGAUUUCACCAAGCGAGUGACAACUGUGCGCUCCUGGAUCACUCCAUUCCCAUGGAGCCACGGACAGUCCCCGUACGGACAUCUUUCCACCCAGACACACAGGACUUGGUGACACUGGUCACUAUAGUAACAUCACAUCACAUCAACUCACUCCCAGCCCCAGAGGGCCAGUCACUCACCCCAAUGGAUACUCUUGAUCUCACACCAGAGGCUGUGCUGGCAGCCGAUUUCUCUAGUAAACAAGUUAAGGGUUUAUUAGCUCAGCAAAGGGAAUCAGCUCUUGAGAGGUUAAAGCAGGUAAAAUAGAGUAACAGGUGAACCCAGGUUUGUAAGUCCAAAGCGAUAGCAGAGAUGUGGUGAUCUGGGAGUUUUCCAUGAGUCUCCCAGGGAUACCCAGAGUAACUUUGGGGAUCUGUCUCUUCCAUGUGGAAGGCUUCCCUGUGAGUGGCCAAACAGUUUCGAGGAAUCUUUUAUGCCUUCGCCUAGAAAGCACGGUUCUGUUCCCACGUGGGCCAUCCUUGGCCGACGGUGCGUGAGGAAUGCAGACCGUGUCUGUGAAUUCCCAUCGAGAACUCAGUGGCCCUAGCUUUGAAGUUAGCAACCUUCUUCCUUUACAUUUCCAAGGCUCCAGUCGCAUUUGGUGAGUAAACGUCACUACCGGGCUAGACGCUGUGUGCGUGGUAAUGGAAUAGCCCACAACGAGCCUUCCUUAGUUUUCAUGAAGUAAAGUACAUUUGCAUCUCAGUGCUAACACACCCUUUGGAUGUGGGGUUAAUUAAGUACAGGGAUAUACAUAAUGUAAUGGAUACCAAUCAACAGGUUAUAGAUACAUGAAGAUGAGCAUUCACGUUCCCUUUGCACUCAAUGAACACUGGAGUGAAUUAAUUCACUUAGCGUUUCUUUGGUGGUCACCCACUACUGAAUCGGCCCAUUGACCUGAGCUGGCCUGUCAGCAUCACAGAGAUAAAAGGGGGUAAAUCCCAUAGGCUCUGCGGGGGACACUCCUGUACCCAAAUAACAAAUCGGGGAGCAACUAGCUGUAACAUACAGCGUCCGCAUAGACUUCAGCGCCGCAUGGACUCUUUCCACUGACCGCUAGUCGCUGGGCGAUAGUGGCAGCUUUCACAUCCCUCGCUCCGCUCAACACCCGUCACUUUUUGAAAACUGCAGACAUGAAAUUUGCACCCAGUCCCACAAGAUUUCCCAACUCGGCCAGAAACGGCGACUAGGGCAGUAGCCGCAGUUUCAGCUUCUGUAUCGGACAGACCUGGGGCUUCCAGGCACCUGGUGGCAGCACCCACCACUCCCAGUCGCUUUCUUUCCGUUCCUGGGAGGGGUCCCACAAUGUCCCCGGACCUUCUGGCAAACACCUUAGCAAUAGGUAGUGGCCACAGGGUCUGUAACCGCUGGCGCGUCUGGCACGACUUGUGCUGUGAUUUUCACUGUCUCAAAUGCAAGGCCAGGAGCCGUGUUUGAGCCUCGCACGGUUCUCUCCUUGCCUCAGUCUCCAGCACAGGGGCAGUCACGAGCCACGUGCAGCAACUCAGGCCUGCCCUGAUCAGGCCCAACACCUGCUUGCAAAGCCCAGCAUGGUGCCUCUUCCCCUAUGCACGGCAAACCUCGAAAAGCCAAUGGCGAUGUUAUCCUGAGCCACCUUCCUCUCCCUGCACAAGGUCAGCCUGGUGAGCCUCCAUAAACUCCCUGGGAGCCUCACUCGCGUUAGGAGCCGACUCUGGCAAAGCAACGGACUCUCCAAACCCUCCCCAGGGGACAAACGGUUACUUUCCGCUGGCAAAGGCCUGAGGACGUUUCUCCCCCCGCAGCCCUCCCUGCUGGCCACAGAUAAGCCAGGAGAGGCAGAGCCAGACUUCUGGCUGCGAGUUCUGAUAUUAUCCUGCUUAGACGUGGCUCCAGUGUCCUUACCUCAUAAAACAGGAGUGGGAAGCAGAUUCCUAAUGCCCAGAAUAAUCCCCUUGGAAAGUCCUCACGCUCCAGGGAAACCAUGGCCAAAAGUAGAGAUACAGAGCUAAUCUUUGGAGGGAGGAGUACCAAAGAAGCCCACCACAGGAGCAUUAACUCAGAAAAGGAGAAUACACAGGAACGAGGAAGCUAGUUACGUGGAAAUGAAAAGGAGUGAAAUGCCUGCAAGCUGCGUGGAAACGUUUUAAACACACCAUAAUAGAGGCACAAAUUAAGCAGACUAAGAACUACCCCAAUGAAUACGAGAGGCAGGGAGAGGCGAAAAGCUGCCCUUUCACCACUGGACGGGAAAUCCGCUGGAGGAAAUAGGAGGGGGCAUGAACUCUGGCAAGUCAAGAUUUUGUAUUAUUAGGCAGGCAAAAAAAAGGAAAAAAAAGAAGACUUUGAAGAGCAACUAGCAAAAGACACAAA